rnacentral:tRNA from 1 species
GGAGAGGUGGCAGAGUCCGGCUGAAUGCACUGCACUCGAAAUGCAGCAUACCUUAUGGGUAUCGGGGGUUCGAAUCCCUCCCUCUCCG